rnacentral:rRNA from 1 species
CCAGACUCCUACGGGAGGCAGCAGUGGGGAAUAUUGCACAAUGGGGGAAACCCUGAUGCAGCGACGCCGCGUGGGUGAAGAAGUAUUUCGGUAUGUAAAGCCCUAUCAGCAGGGAAGAAAAAAAUGACGGUACCUGACUAAGAAGCACCGGCUAAAUACGUGCCAGCAGCCGCGGUAAUACGUAUGGUGCAAGCGUUAUCCGGAUUUACUGGGCGUAAAGGGAGCGCAGGCGGCGCGCCAAGUCUGAUGUGAAACCCCGGGGCUCAACUCCGGGCAUGCAGUGGAAACUGGCGGGCUGGAGUGCCGGAGAGGGAAGCGGAAGUCCUAGUGUAGCGGUGAAAUGCGUAGAUAUUAGGAGGAACACCAGUGGCGAAGGCGGCGUACCGGACGGCAACUGACGCUGAGGCUCGAAAGCGUGGGGAGCAAACAGGAUUAGAUACCCUCGUCCUU